rnacentral:rRNA from 1 species
GGAUCUGUCCGUCGGUCGGGCCUCACGGUUCGCACUGGUAUGAUGGAUUCCUACCUUCUGAACAGUCGGUAUGCCAUUAAUUUGAUGUACCAGGGAAGCAGAACCAUUACCUUGAAAAAAUUAGAGUGCACAAAGCAGGCCUAUUCCUGAAUACAUUAGCAUGGAAUAAUAAAAUAGGACGGCAUGGUUCUAUUUUGUUGGUUUCUAGGAUCACCGUA